rnacentral:rRNA from 1 species
UACGUAGGGGGCAAGCGUUGUCCGGAUUUAUUGGGCGUAAAGAGCGUGUAGGCGGUUUGGUAGGUCCGUUGUGAAAACUCGAGGCUCAACCUCGAGACGCCGAUGGAAACCAUCAGACUAGAGUCCGGAAGAGGAGAGUGGAAUUCCUGGUGUAGCGGUGAAAUGCGCAGAUAUCAGGAAGAACACCCGUGGCUAAGGCGGUUCUCUGGGCCUGUACUGACGCUGAGGAGCGAAAGCGUGGGGAGCGAACAGG